rnacentral:rRNA from 1 species
GACGAACGCUGGCGGCGUGCUUAACACAUGCAAGUCGAACGGAAAGGCCCUGCUUUUGUGGGGUGCUCGAGUGGCGAACGGGUGAGUAACACGUGAGUAACCUGCCCUUGACUUUGGGAUAACUUCAGGAAACUGGGGCUAAUACCGGAUAGGAGCUCCUGCUGCAUGGUGGGGGUUGGAAAGUUUCGGCGGUUGGGGAUGGACUCGCGGCUUAUCAGCUUGUUGGUGGGGUAGUGGCUUACCAAGGCUUUGACGGGUAGCCGGCCUGAGAGGGUGACCGGCCACAUGGGGACUGCGAUACGGCCCAGACUCCUACGGGAGGCAGCAGUGGGGAAUAUUGCACAACGGGCGGAAGCCUGAUGCAGCAACGCCGCGUGCGGGAUGACGGCCUUCGGGUUGUAAACCGCUUUCGCCUGUGACGAAGCGUGAGUGACGGUAAUGGGUAAAGAAGCACCGGCUAACUACGUG